GUGAGGAAUAUUGCGCAAUGGAGGCAACUCUGACGCAGCCAUGCCGCGUGCAGGAAGAAGGCGCUACGCGUUGUAAACUGCUUUUAACCGGGAAGAAACCCCAGGACGUGUCCUGGGUUGACGGUACCGGAGGAAUAAGCACCGGCUAACUUCGUGCCAGCAGCCGCGGUAAUACGAAGGGUGCAAGCGUUAUCCGGAUUCAUUGGGUUUAAAGGGUGCGUAGGCGGAGCGUUAAGUCAGUGGUGAAAUCCUGCAGCUUAACUGUAGACUUGCCAUUGAUACUGGCGCUCUUGAGUGCGCUUGAAGUGGGCGGAAUGUGCCGUGUAGCGGUGAAAUGCUUAGAUAUGGCACAGAACACCAAUUGCGAAGGCAGCUCACUAAGGCGAUACUGACGCUGAGGCACGAAAGCGUGGGGAUCGAACAGGAUUAGAAACACGUGUAGUCC
rnacentral:rRNA from 1 species